CCUACGGGAGGCAGCAGUGAGGAAUAUUGGUCAAUGGACGCAAGUCUGAACCAGCCAUGCCGCGUGCAGGAAGACGGCUCUAUGAGUUGUAAACUGCUGUUGUACGAGGGUAAACGCAGAUACGCGUAUCUGUCUGAAAGUAUCGUACGAAUAAGGAUCGGCUAACUCCGUGCCAGCAGCCGCGGUAAGACGGAGGAUUCAAGCGUUAUCCGGAUUUAUUGGGUUUAAAGGGUGCGUAGGCGGUCCGCUAAGUUAGAGGUGAAAUCCCGAGGCUCAACGUCGGAAUUGCCUCUGAUACUUUUCGGCUAGAGCGUAGUUGCGGUCGGCGGAAUGUCUUGUGUAGCGGU
rnacentral:rRNA from 1 species